GCCCCCGUAGCUCAGUGGAGAGAGCAGCGGUUUCCUAAACCGCGUGUCGGAGGUUCCAUUCCUCCCAGGGACACCG
rnacentral:tRNA from 1 species